GAUGAACGCUGGCGGCGUGCCUAAUACAUGCAAGUCGAGCGAACGGACGAGAAGCUUGCUUCUCUGAUGUUAGCGGCGGACGGGUGAGUAACACGUGGAUAACCUACCUAUAAGACUGGGAUAACUUCGGGAAACCGGAGCUAAUACCGGAUAAUAUUUUGAACCGCAUGGUUCAAAAGUGAAAGACGGUCUUGCUGUCACUUAUAGAUGGAUCCGCGCUGCAUUAGCUAGUUGGUAAGGUAACGGCUUACCAAGGCAACGAUGCAUAGCCGACCUGAGAGGGUGAUCGGCCACACUGGAACUGAGACACGGUCCAGACUCCUACGGGAGGCAGCAGUAGGGAAUCUUCCGCAAUGGGCGAAAGCCUGACGGAGCAACGCCGCGUGAGUGAUGAAGGUCUUCGGAUCGUAAAACUCUGUUAUUAGGGAAGAACAUAUGUGUAAGUAACUGUGCACAUCUUGACGGUACCUAAUCAGAAAGCCACGGCUAACUACGUGCCAGCAGCCGCGGUAAUACGUAGGUGGCAAGCGUUAUCCGGAAUUAUUGGGCGUAAAGCGCGCGUAGGCGGUUUUUUAAGUCUGAUGUGAAAGCCCACGGCUCAACCGUGGAGGGUCAUUGGAAACUGGAAAACUUGAGUGCAGAAGAGGAAAGUGGAAUUCCAUGUGUAGCGGUGAAAUGCGCAGAGAUAUGGAGGAACACCAGUGGCGAAGGCGACUUUCUGGUCUGUAACUGACGCUGAUGUGCGAAAGCGUGGGGAUCAAACAGGAUUAGAUACCCUGGUAGUCCACGCCGUAAACGAUGAGUGCUAAGUGUUAGGGGGUUUCCGCCCCUUAGUGCUGCAGCUAACGCAUUAAGCACUCCGCCUGGGGAGUACGACCGCAAGGUUGAAACUCAAAGGAAUUGACGGGGACCCGCACAAGCGGUGGAGCAUGUGGUUUAAUUCGAAGCAACGCGAAGAACCUUACCAAAUCUUGACAUCCUUUGACAACUCUAGAGAUAGAGCUUUCCCCUUCGGGGGACAAAGUGACAGGUGGUGCAUGGUUGUCGUCAGCUCGUGUCGUGAGAUGUUGGGUUAAGUCCCGCAACGAGCGCAACCCUUAAGCUUAGUUGCCAUCAUUAAGUUGGGCACUCUAAGUUGACUGCCGGUGACAAACCGGAGGAAGGUGGGGAUGACGUCAAAUCAUCAUGCCCCUUAUGAUUUGGGCUACACACGUGCUACAAUGGACAAUACAAAGGGCAGCGAAACCGCGAGGUCAAGCAAAUCCCAUAAAGUUGUUCUCAGUUCGGAUUGUAGUCUGCAACUCGACUACAUGAAGCUGGAAUCGCUAGUAAUCGUAGAUCAGCAUGCUGCGGUGAAUACGUUCCCGGGUCU
rnacentral:rRNA from 1 species